rnacentral:lncRNA from 1 species
GAAAAGGCUCUGAAACAGAUCCAAGAUGUUGUUUGAGCCAUGCAACUAGAAGAUCUCAUAGAACUAAAGUUAUCUAAUUUACAGAAAAGGUUUUACGUGACGUCUAUUGUACAGAUUCAUAUGAAAACCAUAGUUCAAACUCCAAGGUUUAAGAAGUAAGAAAGAUCAUGCCAUUUGCAACAAACAUGCAUGCAUAUUUGAAAAGCAACUGUAAGUAUGCUAUUGGACAUUGGUAAAGAUUGAAUAUCUGACCAUGGCAUAUCAAGAAACCAUGGAAUGAGUACUGCUUAUCAAGAUCUGGGUGUGAGAAGACUUAAAAAGUCAGAUAGUCAGUGAGAACCAGCUAGAAUCCAUGAUCUGUUGUGGGAAAACUAGAAGACCAAAAAAAGCACGAAAGUCAAGAAAGAAGUCUCUUUUCACAUGAAAGUGGCCUGAAGACAAAUACUGCUAUGAAUGGUUACAUCUAGGACUUCUGAAAUUAGCCCCAGAUUCAACUCAUUUUUUUCUGCAUUUGCUGAGCAAUAUGACAUGUUUACACCGAUUAGCUAAAAAGUUAUGUGAAGAAUGGGCAACAAUAUCUCUAAGUAACUAGGAGACCAUGUCCCUUGGCAUAAGUAUUGAUCUUCAAUAAUUUGUCCUUGAUAUUGAGAGAAGAGGAUCAAACUAUUUGAACCGGAUUGCUGUACUUCAACAUGUAAAGUGAAAAUGCAGACCCAGUUGACUAUAUUUCACUCAUUUGGGCCAAAGAAGCAGAAGUUUAUUAACAAAGAAGGAGAAUAACAAAAGAAAUAUAAGAUGGAAAGAAAAGCAAAAAGAAAGAAAACUAAAGAAAAAGCAAAAGAAAGAAUACUAAAUCUGAAAUACAUUUUCGUCCCCAAAUCAAGUUGGUGCAUAAAGUUCAAAUGUUUUCCUGA